GUUUAGCUGGGUAUAAAAGAAAUCCUAGCUGACCAGAGAUUUCUGAAAAACUUGCACGGUUGUCUUUCUGCAUCCACAGGAAGUGACAGCAGGAGGACACACUGAGCGGCCGGUUAGCUACUGAUCAGCUUCUUGUGUCACCCGAAUGACACAUCGCUACGACGACGCUUUUUAAUGAAUGGCGGAACAUCAGGCAGCAUACGUGCCUCACUUUCUGUACUGUGAAUAACUGCUACAACCUGUGUCACACGCAUGCAUGCUCAUUAUUAGCGAACAGAGCAGCUUGUUGAAUGAGUCACAGCAUUUACUUGAACGGUUGCUAUUUAUGUUUUUUAUAUCAUUAGAUGAAUUCCGCUGGUCGCUGCUGCAGACGUUUACUGACUUUGUUGUGAAUGUGUGCAUGUUCAAGUACAUGUGUGCGUCCAAACUGUACAUGCCCAUGCCUUUCGUUGCUGUUCAUGAAGCGAUAUAAAUCAGGGAAGUAUCAGCUAGCAUAUAGUUUUACUUAUUGUGAAAAUGUACAGAUAAUGUUGUAUAUAUAACAGUUUACUGAGCAUGUCGACACACGUGCUAACUGCUGGUCAGAAGAUUUAUCUAGUUAGUGAAGUGAAUACUGAUAUGAUUGAUAGCAUAUCAGAUAUUAUUAAUGUAUCAUUUGUGUUUUAAAGGUUCCCUGUGGAGUUCUCUUGUAAACAUUCGAAAGUCUAAGGAUCUGGUCCACAUGUAUGCAGAUAGUUUUUUUUUAAAGUGGGUAUAUUUAUUGAUAAAAAUUAAUAAAAACAAAAUCUCUGUCCACAUGAAAAUGCAAAUAUUGGCCAAUAGAAUCCUGGAAAAAAAGCUAAUAAAAGUUCCUGUAGACUACAAACAAACAGAAAGGAGGAAAUCAUGUGUGGUGAACUGAUUCGGAUGCCUUUUUACCUCAGUCUAGUGCAAAAGUUGUUGUACAUUUAUGAGUAAAUAUGUAAAACAGUAAUCCUUCUAAAGGUUUGCACUGGCAAUAUUUUUGUCCACAUCAGCCAUUGCACAAAAUUAGCAUCUAAACAAAGGAGGGCCAAACGCUUUAUCAGAGUAUCUUCACUGUUUACCUAAAGGUCCAUUUUCAGCCACCUAAAAUUUGGAUAAAAGGCCAAAAUGUAUCGAAUAAUCUUCCAUUUUAAACAUCACCAUGUACAUGUGGGCACGACCUAGAUUUACCAUCAGGCCGUCUUCUUCCUUCCUGGCACAUCGCUGCACAUCCUGGCACAUUUAAACCACCUGUUGGACGGUGAAUCAUAGAAAAACGACUCCGCGGGGCCAUUGGCGUUCACAAUCUCCACAGGUUACCUUUAAACGAGGCUUUACAGGCUUUAUAGCAGCGGGACGUCUGAGAGAUUGAUGGAUUUUGGUCUUUAGUAUAAUUUCCUUCAGCUGGAUAAAGACAUCCGCCAUCUUCUCAUGAAUACAGGGUAUUAGUUAAACCUGUAAAUUAGAUAUUUAAUGCAGCACUUGGUUAGUAUUUCUUCCUAUGAAACUGCUGUAUGAUAAUCACGGACCCAUGCUGAAGAGCUUUCCUGUCAUUCAGUUGAUUAAGCAGGCUGCUGCUGUGUAUGUGCGAGCUUAGCGCUGCAGGUGGCCGGUGACGUCCGACUUUAUAGUGUGUGUGUGUGCAAAUAUCGAUGUCUGUGUCGAUUCUUAGUCGUCCAGGUCAUUGUAACACUAUGAGAAUCGGUAGAAGGGGGCUUUUUUAUGGUUCCGCUGUAAUCUUAGUGAGCUGGUGGUGAUAAUAUGCACCUAGAACUCCCCACCAGUCAUUUAGAACUGAGGAAGCCUCUUGAAUGGAAGUUAAACGUCUUCAAGAACCAAAAAUACGGUCCAGUUGUCUUCUACUGAAGCUCUUGGUGGUGCAGAUAUUGAUCUCGGGUGUGAUGUAUUGUAGGAAAUGAUCAGCAAAUACACAGAAAACAAGAUCAAUAACAAAUAGUAGAUUGUUGCGGAAAUGUCAGCUUUUAACGGACCAUCAGUCGUAAAUUGUUUCUCUUCGACAACAAACGUUUAGACAGUAAGAUUAGGAAACUAAAUUUCUCAUAGUGGCAGGUGAGUGAAUAAGUUUAAAACUGUUAUAUUUGUGUGUGUGAGGCAUCGCUUACGCUCAGCUGUAAGCUCAUGUGCGGAAAUUGUUUUGAUUUUUUGUGACGCUGACUGCAUUAGACUGUUUAGUUAGAGUAGCUUAAAAAUGUAAAAUGCAAAUAUGGCCUUUGUUGUUUUAUAAUAAAUUAAAAUGCUUUUUUCAGACCC
ensembl:lncRNA